UAACCAUCUCCAUGGCGACAGAAUUCUAGCUUCACAUUAGAGAUUCAUUACAGUAAAACCCCUAUCACCGCUCAGGUAUAGCCUCCAUGCUAGUGUCGUUCAUGAUCGGACUCUACUACAACACCUUGAUCGCCUGGAUCAUGUGGUAUUUCUUCAACUCCUUCCAGAGCCCUCUGCCUUGGGCACAGUGUCCUCUGAACGACAACGGGACAGAAUACGUAUCGGAGUGUCAACGGAGUUCAACUGUGGAUUACUAUUAUUACCGAGUGACCCUGAACACCACGGCCUCUAUAGCAGACUCUGGAGGAAUCCACUGGCCCAUGGUGGUCUGCCUGUUAGCUGCCUGGGCCGUCAUCUGCCUCUGUUACAUUCGAGGGAUUGGAACGUCAGGCAAGGUUUGUGAAGCGGCUAACAUUCGAAAUGAUCACUGUUUUGGUCCGCUUGCGAUUUCCCUAACGUGAUUCCUUUAACACGAUCUAAAUCUCAGGCAGUGUAUGUUACGUCCAUCCUGCCGUACAUAGUGCUGGCUAUCUUCCUGGUCAGAGGACUGACCCUGAAAGGAGCCCUGAAUGGAGUGGAGUUUCUCUUCACACCAGAUGUGAACGAGUUGAUGAAAGCAACAACUUGGUUGGAUGCGGGUGCGCAGGUCUUUUAUGCGUUCAGUAUAGCGUGGGGAGGCCUCAUCUCUUUCUCCAGCUACAACCCCAUUCAGUAAGAAAUGCAAAGAAUUACUUUUACAUUUUAUGGCAGAUGAAAAUAUAUCCUGAUUGUUUCACAUUUAACUUUUUAUUUUUUCAAGCAACAACUGCAUGAAAGACGCCGUGGUGUUGACUGCAAUUACAGGCCUGACGGCUAUCUAUGUUGCCACGGUCACCUACACCAUCAUUGGUUUCAGGGCUACUGAGAAAUAUGAUAGCUGUAUUAGUGAGUGAGUACCUUGUAUCAGUGAGUCAUGACAAAAUUCUUUUUUUAAAUACACUCAAAUAUCAACCACAGAGUUGCCGAAGUUUAAAAACCUUUUUUGUUUAGGGCCUGAGCACUGACAGAACGUUACAGUUAGGGAUGUCCAAUAAUAUCGCCCGAUAUUAGCAUAUUAUGUAAUGUUAUCGCUUUUUCUUCCGAUAAUGAAAACCGAUAAUGUGUGCCCUAAAAAUAGCUUUGGGGAUAAAUGGCUGUAUAUUAAGGUGAAGGCCACUAGAUGACAGCAUUGUAUCUGUGUUCAUGUAUCUCAUAGUUUCACUUCAUAAACAGUUCAUCCAAUCAUCAUGCAGAAGCCCACUUUUUAUCGUGAUUUUUUUCAGUCAGUCAGGAUCCGCAGUUCUAAAAAAGGCUACGAUAGUUUUCUGGAGACUUCUUCACAUGUUCUGAAAGUGCUCAGGUCCAUCCGGUGCGACAAAAACAGAAUCAUACCACACAGCAUUUUCUUUACAGCGAAUGAAUGUGAAGCAAUUAACUUGUGACUGGCACUGAAUUACAGGAUCAAUCAAUACUCGACACCUGCAAACUAAAAAAACAAAAAUCUUUAUAAAGGAGUGACCCUAAAGUCCAGUGGGCAGCUCUCAGGUUAUAGGGUAAGGAGAUUAAGAAUUUGUUUGAAGCAUUACUGUAUCUAUAUGAUCAUGUAUGAUUAGUGAUUCCCGUGUGUGUGUGUGUAUGCUUUUGUUUUAGAAAUCAGCUGUUGUUUAUCACUGAGGGAAAUAUUAUGGCGUCAGGUAACUGUGAUAGAGCCAAAUGACUCAGUCAUUACUCUAAUGCCAGGUGGCUGACCAGCUGUGCACUUUCGUUUUAGGAACAUCAGGCUAUUAUUAAACGCGUUUGACCUGAGCGAAGAUAACAUCACUACCAGCAACUAUGAGUCAGAGCUGAUCCGCCUCAACACCUCCCAUUCCGAUGAAGUUCUGAGACUGAACAUCCAAACAUGUGACCUGCAGAAAUUUCUCAGUGAGGUACAGACGUCGCAGAAAAUCAAUCGAAAUCUUCUUAGGGUGUUAUGUUUGCUAAACUAAUGUGGGCUUUUAUUUUCAGGGGGUGGAAGGAACAGGUUUGGCCUUUGUUGUAUUUACAGAGGCCAUCACUAAAAUGCCAGGUUCCCCCAUUUGGUCCGUUCUCUUUUUCCUCAUGCUUCUGUGCUUGGGCAUCUCAACCCUGUUUGGCAACAUUGAAGGAGUGGUAGUCCCCUUAAAAGACCUCAACAUUGUUCCUCAAAGUUGGCCACAAGAAGCUAUCACCGGUAUUCCCUGUCAUUUGGUUACGGUUGAUUAAAAAAGUCGGACGCCGUUUCUCUGCUAACGCAUUGUGUUUUACAGGAGCCACUUGCUUCGUGUCCUUCGUCGUCUCUCUGCUGUUUGCGCAGCAGUCAGGGUUUUACUGGGUGACUCUUUUCGACAACUUUGCUGGAUCUGUUCCUCUUCUGACCAUUGGGUUUAUUGAACUAAUAGCAGUUGUGCACAU